GAUGAACGCUGGCGGCGUGCUUAACACAUGCAAGUCGAACGAUGAAGCCCAGCUUGCUGGGUGGUUUAGUGGCGAACGGGUGAGUAACACGGGAGUAACCUGCCCUUGACUCUGGGAUAAGCCUGGGAAACUGGGUCUAUUACUGGAUAUGACUUCUCAUCGCAUGGUGGGGGGUGGAAGGAUUUAUUGGUCUUGGAUGGACUCGCGGCCUAUCAGCUUGUUGGUGAGGUAAUGGCUCACCAAGGCGACGACGGGUAGCCGGCCUGAGAGGGUGACCGGCCACACUGGGACUGAGACACGGCCCAGACUCCUACGGGAGGCAGCAGUGGGGAAUAUUGCACAAUGGGCGCAAGCCUGAUGCAGCGACGCCGCGUGAGGGAUGACGGCCUUCGGGUUGUAAACCUCUUUCAGUAGGGAAGAAGCGAGAGUGACGGUACCUGCAGAAGAAGCGCCGGCUAACUACGUG
rnacentral:rRNA from 1 species